GGUCUUGUAGUGUAGUGGUUAUCACUCGGGAUUUUGACCAUGAUGUUGAAUUUCCCGAAACCCAGGUUCGAACCCUGGCAAGACCU